UUUAAUUAAAUUUUCUUCUUCUUCAAAGCUUCUUCUCGAUUCUCAACCCAGAAAACACAGAGCAAUCAAAAUCAAAAUCAUGGGGUUUUUCGUUUUUGUGCAUUUCUAACUGGAUUAAAAUCACUAAUCAGUCUCAAGUCUCAACGAAUCCCAAAUCCUUCACCGAUUUCAUCAAUUUCAAUUUGAAAAUUUUUCUGCAACUCCAUAAGAGGGUUCCUGAAGAUAUUUAGGAUCAAUUUUUCAGCUCUGGUGAAUCUCAUAUUUUAGAGAAAAAUGAAAUUUAAGGUACCAUUCACUAGUCUACAUCUAGAUUGAGUGUUGAGCUUUGCUUUUGUACGAUUUAACUGCUAUUUCGUUUCUUAUAUGUUCCCGUUUGAUACUUGUGUUCAACAGAAAGUGAAAAAAUGUGAGAAAUAUGAGCUCAAAGGAACCAAAAUGUUAUUUUCUCAUGUUCUUGUUUUGCUUGACUUGCUUCUUGCUUCAGUAGGAUGUGAUAGAUAUAGAUCGAUAUGUGCACCUCCAUUUUGGUCAAUGGCUUAAGCAAAAAGUAGAAAAGGAUGACCUUGCACCGGAUCCAUCUAGUAAGGUUUUAAAGUUCUCAGCAUAUAACAUCAAUGGAUUCAAGUUUAAAACUAUAGAAAGGGAUCAAGACCUAACAACUCAGAAUAGUGGAAUUUUUGUCUCAGCUGAAACCAUUAGUUAUGCAAGUUCACGUGAUCUUAAUCCUAGAGCCGGAGAUGUUUCCAUACUAUGGGAAAUUAACUGAAAUUCUGGAAUUGAACUACUAUGACUCGUUUAGAGUUGUGUUAUUCAAAUGUAAAUGGGUUGAUACUCGUGAUGCUCGAGGGUAUAAGAAGGAUGAUUUUGGUCACACUAUGGUAAAUUUCUCUCGUCUAAGUCACACUGGAAAUGGUGAAGAAGAUGAGCCUUAUGUGCUGGCUUCUCAGGCAAGAUUGGUUUACUAUGUGGAAGAUCCACAAGAAAAAGAAUGGAGUGUCCAACCAAGAGACUUGUAUGAUAUGGGUGAUCCUACUAUUUCAGAUGAAAUUCCUCCUGAGGUUAUCAUUGAAGAUCCUCAUCCUCAUGUUCAAAGUUCAAUGAUUAUAUCUGAUAAUAUUUCUAAUAUUAGAUUAGUGAGGCAAAUAGAAGAUCUUGAAAAUUCUCAGAUUCCAUGUGAUUAACUUUUUCAGGUCCAGAUCAUAUUUACCUUUUUAAAACUUAAUUCUUGCAUAAACUUUGUUUGUUUGUUGUCUGACAUUGGUAUGUGCAGUCGAGAUGGUUAUAUUAAAAGUUUCUUAUUCACUCUGAGUUGUAAAGCAUUAUGUGAUUGAAGCUGAUGACUCUGGUGAGUUUGAUGCUGUCAACCACAAGAAGAAUCUUGAUAUAUACCAGUUUAAAACAAGGAAAUUUCAUGGUGGGAACUCCUAAAGCUAUACACGAGCAAGGAGGAUUUGAGUUCUUCAUCAAAAUUAAUUAGGACCACGCCAAAGCUCGAGCCGCUUUUUUUCUUCUGUUUUUUUUUCUUUUUUUUUCUUCUUUUUUUUCUUUUCUUCUUUUUUCUUUUGUAAUCUAUGCUUAACUGCAGGCAUUGGCUUUGCAAAGAAGAUCCAAGAGUGAGCAAGGGUCUUCUUCUACCGACAGUGGUGGCGUGGUUCUCUCUCUUCGGUGUGGUUAUGGCUCCGGUAAACAGAGAAGAAGAUCCGGUGUAAAGGCCCCUGGUUUGAGGACGCCGGUGGGUUAUCGCCGGAGCUUCUCGGCUCCUCCGUUUCAACGGCUCGCUGUGACUACAGCGGAAGCCGAAGGGUGAGUGGUGGGGAGUGCUGUUUCGUCGAGGUGGUUAAUGGCUCGAUCCAUUUGGAUCUUGUUGGCUGCCGCGGAUUCUGGUUGCAGUUGGUCUGGGUGAGCCCUCAGCCUCUGUAAUUGCCGCGAAUUGUGUGUCCACCGGACCGGUUUGAAGUUUUCCUUGCUCGAGGGAGAUCGAAGCCGUUGGUGGUUAAAGGAGGGGAUAGAUCUGAGUUUUGGCGGUUUGCUAGGUCAGAAACUGCCAACAUCGAUGUCGGUUGUCGGAAGUUGUGCACACCGGGAGGGUUGUAGCGGGUCAGGUGGCCCGCCGGAUCAAGAUUAAGACAGAAACUAGAUUCUUCUGUCGGUGGUCUGGAUCCUGUUGUUGCUGCCGCAAAGCCGUGGCCCUUGAAUCCACCGGGAUUGGUGCGCUGACUCUCUGUUCCCGGUGAUCAACAGGAUCCGAUCCUCUUGCGGCGGCUGCUCUAUUUUGUUUUCUGUAAAUCCUAAUUUUGUACUGGAUCCGAAUUGUAACAGGCCAAGGCCCAGCCCAUUUGGGAGUUCUAAUAUAAGAAAAAAAUAAUAAUAAAUAAAUAAAUAAAAAGAAAAAGAAAAAA